rnacentral:rRNA from 1 species
AGGGUGCAAGCGUUACUCGGAAUUACUGGGCGUAAAGCGUGCGUAGGUGGUUUGUUAAGUCUGAUGUGAAAGCCCUGGGCUCAACCUGGGAAUUGCAUUGGAUACUGGCAGGCUAGAGUGCGGUAGAGGAUGGCGGAAUUCCCGGUGUAGCAGUGAAAUGCGUAGAGAUCGGGAGGAACAUCUGUGGCGAAGGCGGCCAUCUGGACCAGCACUGACACUGAGGCACGAAAGCGUGGGGAGCAAACAGG